GACCGCUCCAGUGGCCAAGUGUUUAGAGCGUCCGCCUUGGAUGCGAGAGGUCGUGGGUUCGACCCCCGGUUGAGUCA